CAAGGAAUCUUGCGCAAUGGGCGAAAGCCUGACGCAGCAACGCCGCGUGGGUGAUGAAGGCCUUCGGGUUGUAAAUCCCUUUUGUCGGGGAAGAACUUUGACGGUACCCGGCGAAUAAGCCACGGCUAACUACGUGCCAGCAGCCGCGGUAAGACGUAGGUGGCGAGCGUUAUCCGGAUUUACUGGGCGUAAAGGGUACGUAGGCGGCGCCGUCAGUCUGCCGUGAAAUCUCCCGGCUCAACCGGGAGCGGCCGGUGGAAACUGCGGUGCUCGAGGGGCGUAGAGGCAAGCGGAAUUCCCGGAGUAGUGGUGGAAUGCGUAGAUACCGGGAGGAACACCAGUGGCGCAAGCGGCUUGCCAGACGCAUCCUGACGCUGAGGUACGAAAGCGUGGGUAGCGAACCGGAUUAGAUACCCCCGUAGUCC
rnacentral:rRNA from 1 species